rnacentral:lncRNA from 1 species
UUGCUAUCUUCAUUUUUAUCCUGGCGAGGUUUGAAAAUGGCGGCGUCGAUUGUUUGGUUAGGAAGAGGAGAUGUUGUUGGAGUAUAGGGAGCUAUUAUCUACCUUUUUUUUACAAAGACAAUAUGAGGUGGAAGAUAGGUGAAAAUGACAACUCACAUCUGACAAAGGCUACACCAUCAGAGAUGUUUAUCACCUGUUGGUUAAGGAUGAUCCGGUCGAUAACCUUCAAGAUGUUAUUUGGCACAAAGUGUCACUUUUAAAAGUUUCUAUUAUUGUAUGGCAUUUUCUCCGAAAUAGGUUGCUAACAUAUGAUAAUCUAUUUUGAUGUGAAAUUAUUCAACAAAACUUGAAUGUGUGUGUAAGUGGUUGUGGUUUUGAGGAAGGCAUAAAUAAUUUAUAUUUGGGAUGUAAUCUUUUUGGAAGGAGGAAUACUAACAACACUCACUUUUCAACACUCUCUCCAACAUUUAUUCAUUUAUUGGAUGAAAUUAAUGUAUGUUCCACCACUUAGUGCGGGUUCAAUUUUCAAAGUGUAGACCCACAAUGAUUUAAACCAUUAAGAGAGUGGAUAUUAGAAAGAGUGUUUAAAAGAGAGUGUUGCUAGCAUUACUCAUUCAAU